CCCUAGCCCUGAUGGAAGCGGUAUCCUUUCUAGUCCUGAACUUAUUUCAGGACCCUGAAAUAAGUUCAGGACUAGAAAGAUACAAGUGUACAGCAGGAAAUAGC
rnacentral:sRNA from 1 species